GCCUGGCUGGCUCAGUAGGUAGAGCAUGUGACUUUUGGUCUCCAGGUUGUGAGUUUGAGCCCCACGUUGGGUG
rnacentral:tRNA from 1 species